CCUGUUUAAUUAAAAUCUCAGGGCCCCUAAUCUAAUGAUCCGUUUAUCUACAAAUCUAACCCUUUCUGCACGAUUGUCUUCUCCACCGGCCGCCGCUGUUGGACCUCAAGCGCCACGCCUUUUCAUAUUUCCUCCGUUCUAAAGCUAUUGUUUCGUUUACGUUUGAAACCCCCUAAUCAGUCCUUCAAUGUUUUCUCUUUCAAUAGUAGUCCCACUACUUACCAUUCAAUUUGGGUUACUUCAAAUCCUAUAUAAUGCCCUCUUCUCCAAUUUCAUUCAUCUUACAAUUUCUUCACUAUCUGAAAAUUCUAUUAUCUAUUAUGGAUUCCAGUGUUGGGUCAUUCGCAACUCUCAAGGCCGGUAGCCUACACCAACAGAUUGUAGGGAGGAUGCUUCGUCACUGGCCGGCCCGAAACGUCAAAAAAGGAGGGCAACUAAUGGGAAUUGACUUCCUUCUCAUUGACGAAAAGAGUUGUGUCAUUCAAGGGUCGAUCAAUGUUAGCCUCCUUUCCAAAUUUGAGAACUCGCUGUGUGAUGGGCAUGUAUAUAUCAUGUCAGACUUUGAAGUCACCAGAAGCAACUCACGUUUCAAGCUCACUGAUUCUCCUUUCUCAAUCCGUCUCAUAUCCACUACUGUUUUCGAAAAGCUUGACGAGUCUUUUGGUAUUUUCCCAAAAGAGUUUUUCAGGUUCCGUACUCAUGAGGAGUUGGUUUCUCUAGCCAAUACCAAUUCUGAUCUUCCAGGUCCGUUUAGUUUAAACCCUUUCAAUGUUAACUGUUUCCAAUAUUAAGUCGAAUUGUUGAACGGUUUUGUUCAAACCGUCUCAAUGUUUACUGUUUCUAAGCUUAAUUCGAUUUGUUGAAGCUAAGUUCCAUAAUCGAUAUGCCUUCAUUACCCUCCUUUUAGAGGCUUCGUGAGCGUGAGAGGCUUCGUGGUCCUCCUUGGUUAAAAACAGUGCAAGGGGCACUUCUUAGCUGCUCAUAUGCAGUGCUUGACUACGCCCAAACCGGUCUGAUUGCAGCAGUUUUUAUCUUUAAAAUGAUGGAAUGGUGGUAUCAAUCAGCUGAAGAGAGAUUAUCAGCUCCAACAGUGUACCCUCCACCUCCUCCAGCCCCAACGAUGGCCAAGAAGGAAUCCCUCUACCUCCCAACAGAUCCCUCUGCGCGUUGUGCUUGCAAAAACGUGCAAAUCCAUCAGUUGUCACGGUCUCUGGAUUUGUUUUCUGCUACUCAUGUGUAUUUAAGUAUGUUACAAAGUACAAGCGAUGUCCGGUGACAUUGAUACCGGCCAGCGUGGAUCAGAUUAGGAGGCUGUUUCAUGACACUUAGGACCCAUCUAUUUAAUGGUUUUAAGCCAAAUUGUGAGAGUCUGAGCCGAAAGAGUUAUAAAUUGCCAAAUAUAUAUAUGGAUAAGCUUUCAUGUAGAGCUCAUCAAGUUUGGGAUCAAGUGCUUGAUAGAAGCUCUUCUCGACACAUUGAGUUUUGUCAUGUCUGCUUAGUCUUAACAUUUGCUGUUUGUUUUGUCUAAACCUAGGAAGAUAGAAGUUCUUUCGAACAUUGAGUUCUUUUUUGAGUUCUUAUUCUAUAUAUAGAAGCAUUUUGAUACACAAUGAGUUUCAUUUAUGUUUAUAGAGUUUCAUUUAUUCAUGUCUGUCUUCCAGUCGGUUCUCAUAUGAUCCAUAUAAUUGUUUCAUCUGGUUAUUGAGAUGAAGUAGAACUAACGUUUCUACAGCGGCCGGUGUUUACAAGAAGCAAAUCGGAGCCGGCGAGUAUCGGGCGAGAAGAAUGUGGUGUUGCUUCCAAAUAAAGAAGAGGGUAAAGUUUAGUUCUCUCUCUCACGUGAUUGACUUUUUAGUCAAUUUCACAAAUUAAAAAUAAUGGUCUUUAACCGUCAUUGUUAGUUUGUUACUUAAAUUGACUGUGUUUAGAAGAUAUAAAGGCAAAAAAAAAUUGUAAUUGUAUA